rnacentral:snRNA from 1 species
AUCGCUUCUCGGUCUUUUGGCUAAGAUCAAAAGUAGUAUCUGUUCUUAUCAGUUUAAUAUCUGAUAUGUCCUCUAUCCGAGGACAAUAUAUUAUUAGAAAGGAAUGAAGUACU